AUGAAACCUAUCCUAACAGACACCCAAGAGAGAGGCCAGUCACCUGUUGCUGAAACAUGCUGGUGAAGGGCGAAUGGGAAGGAAGCAGCAGCAGCAGCACCUCAGAAACAUAACCAAAAUGACUAGUGCUUUACUGCUAAUAAGAAAGCAGAGAUGACUCACUACUACUAAAGAACCUGCUUGGUUUUGGGAUGCAGAAAGAAGAACUGCUUUCUUAUCACUUGAGGAUAAAGUUUCAUUCUUUAUUUUUCACCUGAACCUAGUGUCAACAAUUGUUUUAUAGUUAACUCCUGUCAAAUUGCAAUCUCUGGUAAGGUUUUGUAAUACCUUAGAGCCGAUAGAAAUUAAAGGAUAAAGAACCAAUUAGUUAAACACUCCAUACAGUGAUUAUGUUUGCUGACCUUGUGUCAGAACAUUAUCACACAGAUACGUAGUGGUACAAAUGGCUGACAGCUGGGCAGGAUCACUCCAUUAUCAGGAGGCCAGAGAAUCUCCCUGCCCCAGGAGCCAUAGUAAGUAAUAUAAGGACCUCUUGGUUUGAGAAAGGAUAGACUUUGAGUCUUUGGGAUCCUGGGGUGGGGAUUGACUUCUACAAGUUUGUGAAGAGUUAAUAUAAGCUAAACUUCUGGGAGUAUGCUAGCUUUAACAGUAUCUGCAGCUGUAUCUAGAACCCAUGUCUCUUUGGAGGGAUGUACACUUUAGUAGUUGGGUUUCUUGUGUGUCUGUCUGCUGAACCACCUCAUCACAGGAAUGAAAAUUUAAACUCUGAUUUGAAUCAACUAUUGGAAGAACUUAUCAGGGAAAUGGAUAGGCUGAUGGAUAUCAGCUGCUAUCUCUACAUCAAGGUGAGUUUUUCCAAAGGUAUUAGACUUCUCUCUUUUAUUUUUCUAUCUUUCUUGAAGUGGUA